CCUACGGGAGGCAGCAGUGAGGAAUAUUGGUCAAUGGACGAGAGUCUGAACCAGCCAAGUAGCGUGAAGGAUGACUGCCCUAUGGGUUGUAAACUUCUUUUAUACGGGAAUAAAGUGAGGCACGUGUGCCUUUUUGUAUGUACCGUAUGAAUAAGGAUCGGCUAACUCCGUGCCAGCAGCCGCGGUAAUACGGAGGAUCCGAGCGUUAUCCGGAUUUAUUGGGUUUAAAGGGAGCGCAGACGGGUCGUUAAGUCAGCUGUGAAAGUUUGGGGCUCAACCUUAAAAUUGCAGUUGAUACUGGCGUCCUUGAGUGCGGUUGAGGUGUGCGGAAUUCGUGGUGUAGCGGUGAAAUGCUUAGAUAUCACGAAGAACUCCGAUUGCGAAGGCAGCCUGCUAAGCUGCAACUGACAUUGAGGCUCGAAAG
rnacentral:rRNA from 1 species